UGAGUCGGCCGGGCGACCGCGGAGCAGGGAACCGGCACCGAACGGUGCCAGGCCCUGAAUCGAGGAAAGUCCGGACUCCACAGAGCAGGGCGGUUGCUAACGGCAACCCGAGGUGACUCGCGGGACAGUGCCACAGAGAACAGACUGCCUGCCCUCCGGGGUAGGUGAGGGUGAAACGGUGCGGUAAGAGCGCACCAGCACCCCGGGCGACCGGGGUGGCUAGGUAAACCCCGCCCGGAGCAAGGUCGAAGGCCGCACCGAACCCCUCGGGGAACCGGUGCGGCUGCGCAGGUGUUCGAGGGCUGCUCGCCCGAGCCUGCGGGUGGACCGCUCGAGGCACCCGGCAACGGUGUGUCCAGAUGGAUGGUCGUCACCCUGUUUCGACGGGGGACAGGAUCCGGCUUACAGGCCGACUCGUCCG
rnacentral:RNase_P_RNA from 1 species